rnacentral:rRNA from 1 species
GAUGAACGCUGGCGGCAUGCCUAAUACAUGCAAGUCGAACGAGAGGAAGGAAAGCUUGCUUUUCUGAAUCUAGUGGCGAACGGGUGAGUAACACGUAGGUAACCUGCCCAUGUGCCCGGGAUAACUUCUGGAAACGGAUGCUAAAACCGGAUAGGUAGCAGACAAGCAUUUGACUGCUAUUAAAGUGGCUAAGGCCAUGAACAUGGAUGGACCUGCGGUGCAUUAGCUAGUUGGUGAGGUAACGGCCCACCAAGGCGACGAUGCAUAGCCGGCCUGAGAGGGCGGACGGCCACAUUGGGACUGAGACACGGCCCAAACUCCUACGGGAGGCAGCAGUAGGGAAUUUUCGUCAAUGGGGGGAACCCUGAACGAGCAAUGCCGCGUGAGUGAAGAAGGUCUUCGGGUCGUAAAGCUCUGUUGUAAGAGAAAAACGACAUUCAUAGGGAAUGAUGAGUGAGUGAUGGUAUCUUACCAGAA